UCGGGUAUGGUGUAACGGCUAACAUUGCCGCCUCUCAUGGAGUUCCGCGGCAGCUCGGGGUUCGAUUCCCCGUACCCGAA